rnacentral:snRNA from 1 species
AGCUCUGGCCUCUCCUCAUAUCGAGUUAAUCUUUCGCCUUUUACUAAAGAUUACCGUGGGGAGGGGCACUUGAUGAGUCUUAACAAAUUUUUGAAUGCCGAAAGGCAGACUAGCCU